UACAGAGGUGGCAAGCGUUGUUCGGAAUUACUGGGCGUAAAGGGCGCGUAGGCGGUCUUCUAAGUCUUGUGUGAAAUCCCUCGGCUUAACUGAGGAACUGCACGGGAUACUGGAUGACUUGAGUUCGGGAGAGGGAAGCGGAAUUCCGGGUGUAGCGGUGAAAUGCGUAGAUAUCCAGAGGAACACCGGUGGCGAAGGCGGCUUCCUGGGCCGACACUGACGCUGAGGCGCGAAAGCUAGGGGAGCAAACGGG
rnacentral:rRNA from 1 species